GGAUGGCUCAGUGGUAGAGCACUCACCUCGAAUGUGCGAGGCCCUGGGUUCAAUCCUCAGCGCCA
rnacentral:tRNA from 1 species